UGAACGCUGGCGGCAGGCCUAACACAUGCAAGUCGAGCGGUAGCACAGGGAGCUUGCUCCUGGGUGACGAGCGGCGGACGGGUGAGUAAUGUCUGGGAAACUGCCUGAUGGAGGGGGAUAACUACUGGAAACGGUAGCUAAUACCGCAUAACGUCGCAAGACCAAAGAGGGGGACCUUCGGCCCUCUUGCCAUCAGAUGUGCCCAGAUGGGAUUAGCUAGUAGGUGGGGUAACGGCUCACCUAGGCGACGAUCCCUAGCUGGUCUGAGAGGAUGACCAGCCACACUGGAACUGAGACACGGUCCAGACUCCUACGGGAGGCAGCAGUGGGGAAUAUUGCACAAUGGGCGAAAGCCUGAUGCAGCCAUGCCGCGUGUAUGAAGAAGGCCUUCGGGUUGUAAAGUACUUUCAGCGGGGAGGAAGGCGAUAAGGUUAAUAACCUUGUCGAUUGACGUUACCCGCAGAAGAAGCACCGGCUAACUCCGUGCCAGCAGCCGCGGUAAUACGGAGGGUGCAAGCGUUAAUCGGAAUUACUGGGCGUAAAGCGCACGCAGGCGGUCUGUCAAGUCGGAUGUGAAAUCCCCGGGCUCAACCUGGGAACUGCAUUCGAAACUGGCAGGCUAGAGUCUUGUAGAGGGGGGUAGAAUUCCAGGU
rnacentral:rRNA from 1 species